UCCCUGGUGGUCCAGUGGUUAGUAUUCCUCACUUCCACUGUGGUGGCCCCUGGUUCAAUUCCUGCUCUGGGAA
rnacentral:tRNA from 1 species